GGGAUUAAAACCUGCAAGGCCUAACUAGUUAUAAGCAUAUUAGUCAAUGCCAUCCUAACGACCACCAACAAUGUAAAAGGCUUUUUGUUUUCCAGACAAAUUUAACCAAAGGAAAGUUGUCUCAAGUUUGCAUUCGAAGAGAGCAAUUGCAACAACAAUCCAGCAUCCACCAUCUUCCAUCAGAACCUGUCUUCAGCCAAAGAAGAAGAACCGAUUGCCUGCAAGACCUACCGAGUUAAAGCAUAUCAUUAGUUAACACCUUCUUAAGAGCUACCAACCAUGCAAAGGCUUUAAUCAAAAGGAAAGUGGUCAAAUUAGUAGUAGAGGAGAGUACUACUACUAUGCAGCAUCCAACAUCUUUAAUCACAACCUGUGUUAGGCCAAAGAACUUUUCCAGCUCGAGAUCCUAACAAGAAGCAAAAAGAGAAAUGGAGAGGUUGAUUCCCCCACCAAAAUGUCAUCUUGAAAAUGUGUUUUAGACCCCUUCCCAAUACUGUAUUUGAUAUGAAGAGAGAAGGGAGAAAGCUACGAUCACAAGUACCAACCACGUAUCUGAUUAUCCUUUUAACAACACUAAGAUGCCCCUUUGGACUUGAUUGGUAUCAAACAUAAGCCAUUACACUAAACGCAAGAUGUUAGGUAAAGAAGACUACCUAUCAUUAAUGUAUAAGAGGAUAGAUCUUUUUCCACCAUUAUUCCAAAAGAGAAACAUAUUAGAGUAGGGUGAUCACCAAAAUGGCCACAGGUUUCCCAUCAGCUAGCUAAACAGAAAGAGGACUUAACCAAGCACAAGCACAGAUUCCCCAACGCUUGUUUAAAAAGGGUAUUGUGAAAGUGGGUUUAAACUUGCCCAAAUCUGCUCAAACCCCAAAAGAAUAUACUCAAUUAGAUUCAACAAGCUGGAUGCCCCCAGGAGAUACCCUCCUGGAAAAAUUUCAUAUAACGUAAUGUCAAGACAACUUCUCCCUGCCUCAAAGCUUCUUGUCAGUUUGAGUCUCUAAAAGAAGAGAAAAUAGAACAGGGGAAUAAAAGCCUACCACCCACCUGUCGUGAUCAACCUUGAUUUUAUUAACAAUCAGUAUUCUAGUGAAUUUUUUGAAUUCCCCCAGAAUACAAAUCUAUUACUUCCAAUAACAUGCUAAGAAAACAAGCAGAUAGCAGAAGCAAUACAAACAACAAACUAUAACCAAAUAGACAGAAAGUACAACAGGAGCUAGAACAGUUACGGAUCAAUCUAAUUAGUAUGACCAACCCAUGAUUUUCUGAACAGACAGAUUAAAUGCAAUGGCCCAAAUACUGAAAAAUAUAAAAAAUAAAUAAAAAAUAAAAUCAGUCACAGAUACUAAGAAAGGAAGGAGACACCUGUUGAUUACAAUUCUGCAUUGAAAAAUAAUAUCCACAUGUGAAAAAAUACCUGCUUCAUGAUAAUCUGAAAAUCUAAAAUUGUCUGUUCUAGUUCAUGAUGGUAUGAGUACCAAGCACUGAAACUGGAGGACCAUCAGUGCAAGAACCUGACAAGACAUUCAAGGCAUGCAUCAC
rnacentral:lncRNA from 1 species